CAUACACAUACAACGUAACGCAUUGAAUUGAAAUCAAGGGUAGAAUGUGCUUUAAAGUUGAUUGCCGGCAGUGCGGGAAGUCAUCGUGGGGAGGAUGUGGGAAGCACUUGACCACCCUCUACUCCACCAUUCAAACCGGCAACCAUUGCUUAUGUCGUCCUUGGCCGAGCGUCGCCAUCGCCACCCCUCCUGCUCAGAACGCCACCAAUCAACCACUGCUUGCUACACCUCCAAAUCCACCUACUGCAACUACUGCAGGUGUUGCAGGUAGGAUGGCAUCUUAAUUAAAGAUGGAUUGGAUAAGCAAUCAAUAGUUCGACACUCCCAUGUAUGGAUGGUUUUAAAUAAGGUCAUGUCUCACUAUAGGAGACCAAUACUUGUAGUAGAAAUUAAUAAAACGUAGGUAGGGGAUGAAGUGAGGUCAAUAUGCAUUGACCAACCCACCCCUACCAUUUUCAAGUUUGUGUACCAAUAUUUUACCCUAUGGGAGUUGCCGAUUAACCAUUUUAGUUUAAACCGGUGAAUAAUAUAAACUGAUUUACUUCAUUA